rnacentral:rRNA from 1 species
UACAGAGGCCUCGAGCGUUAGGCGGAAUCACUGGGCUUAAAGCGUGUGUAGGUGGAUGCCUAAGUGCCUUGUGAAAUCCCAUGGCUUAACCAUGGAAUUGCUUGGCAUACUGGGUGUCUUGAGCCACUCAGGGGCUACUGGAACAAACGGUGGAGCGGUGAAAUGCGUAGAUAUCGCUUGGAACGCCGACGGUGAAAACAGCUCGCUGGGGGUCAUCUGACGCUGAGACACGAAAGCCAGGGGAGCGAACGGG